UUCAAUAAAAGGCUGAAAGAAAAUGGGAGUACCAUGAGUUUUUGUGAUGUAACCGAGCAAAACAGAGUGCAGAAGGUAAACAGGGUAAGGUUUUACAUCGUGCCUUACUCAUGUUACAGAUGAUGAAGCCCAGAAUGGUGCCACAGACAGCUGUGUGACCUCAUCACCUCACACAGGUCAACAUUUUGAGACCAAAGAUGAUGCAGCCCAGAAUGGUGCCACAGACAGCUGUGUGACCUCAUCACCUCACACGGGUCAACAUUUUGAGACCAAAGAUGGUGCAGCCCCGAAUGAUGCCACAACCAGCUUUGAGAAUGACAGUGUAGGGGAGAAUGAGCUCCACCUUCAGGUUCAGCAGCUGUUACAAGAUAGAACAUCAUUACAAAGAAUAGUUGCAGAAAGAGAAGCGAAGAUAGUUGUUCUUCACAAGGCAAAAAUGAAGAAGGAAAAGGAGUUGAAUGCUAUGGAAAAGGAAAUAGGAAAACUACAAGACAGCUUACGGUGUUCUCAGGACAAAAUAUGCAUAGCCAAGAAGAAUCUUAGCCAAAUGUUCUCACGCUCACAAAUUGAUCAUAUAUUUGCUGAGAAAAAUAUUACUAAUUGGAGUGAGGACGAUAUCAGCCGAGCACUAACUCUGAAAAGUUUAAGCCCAAAAGCUUACUUUUUUCUAAGAGAAAAAUGGAACUUUCCCCUGCCAUCUAAGUCAACAUUAAAUCGACAUGCCAGGAAAAUGGAUGCGGAACCAGGAAUUUUAUUAGCUAUUAUGAAUUUACUUAAAUUCAAAGCAGAGGCUAUGCCAGAGC